rnacentral:rRNA from 1 species
GAUGAACGCUGGCGGCGUGCUUAACACAUGCAAGUCGAACGGAAAGGCCCUUGCUUGCAGGGGCACUCGAGUGGCGAACGGGUGAGUAACACGAGGGUGAUCUGCCCUGCACUUCGGGAUAAGCCUGGGAAACUGGGUCCAAUACCGGAUAGGACCAUCGUUGAGUGGCGGUGGUGGAAAGCUUUUGCGGUGUGGGAUGGGCUCGCGGCCUAUCAGCUAGUUGGUGGGGGAAUGGCCUACCAAGGCGUCGACGGGUAGCCGGCCUGGGGGGGUGGACGCCCACAUUGGUACUGAGAUACGCCCCAGUCUCCUACGGGGGACAGCGGUGGGAAGUCUUGCCCAAUGAGCGCACGCGUAGUGCGGCGGCGUCGCGUGGGGAAUGACGGCCUUCGGGUUGUAAACUCCUUUCGUCAGGGACGAAGCGAAAGUGACGGUACCUGGAGAAGAAGCACCGGCUAACUACGUG